rfam:Planctomycetes bacterium SM23_25 WORSMTZ_19800, whole genome shotgun sequence.
CGGGGCGUGGCGCAGCUUGGUUUAGCGUGCUUGACUGGGGGUCAAGAGGUCGUGGGUUCAAAUCCCACCGCCCCGA